rnacentral:rRNA from 1 species
GACGAACGCUGGCGGCGUGCUUAACACAUGCAAGUCGAACGAAGAGCGACGGAAGCUUGCUUCUAUCAAUCUUAGUGGCGAACGGGUGAGUAACGCGUAAUCAACCUGCCCUUCAGAGGGGGACAACAGUUGGAAACGACUGCUAAUACCGCAUACGAUCUAAUCUCGGCAUCGAGGAUGGAUGAAAGGUGGCCUCUACAUGUAAGCUAUCACUGAAGGAGGGGAUUGCGUCUGAUUAGCUAGUUGGAGGAGUAACGGCCCACCAAGGCGAUGAUCAGUAGCCGGUCUGAGAGGAUGAACGGCCACAUUGGGACUGAGACACGGCCCAGACUCCUACGGGAGGCAGCAGUGGGGAAUCUUCCGCAAUGGACGAAAGUCUGACGGAGCAACGCCGCGUGAGUGAUGACGGCCUUCGGGUUGUAAAGCUCUGUUAAUCGGGACGAAAGGCCUUCUUGCGAAUAGUGAGAAGGAUUGACGGUACCGGAAUAGAAAGCCACGGCUAACUACGUG